UUUAUUGUAGUGUGUGGAGAUACUGUUGCUGGAAGCAACAAAGAAGAAGUUCUAGCUUAUCAAUUAGA
rnacentral:tRNA from 1 species